rnacentral:lncRNA from 1 species
UCUCGAACUCCUGACCUCAGGUGAUCCAUCUGCCUCGGCCUCCUGCAGCACUGGGGUGACAGGCGUGAGCCAGCGCCCCCGGCCAGUGUUAACUGAUUUUAAAGUGCACGCUUGGGCGGCGUUCAGCACGUUGCAGUGUCAGGCGGCCCUCACCUCUCUCUAGUCCUGAAUGUCCUCAUCACCCCAAAAGGAAACCCUGUCUCCAUCAGCACUGGCUCACCACCCUUUCCCAAGCGUGAGAGCCUCCACGACUCUCUGGCUUGGCCUGUUCUGGAUGUUUCGUAGAAAUGGGAUCAGACACUGUGUCCCUCUGAGCCUCCGUCGCUCGAGGUCCUGCCUCAGGUUUCAUCCCGGCGUGGUGUGUGCUGGGGCCUCCUUCCUUCUUGUGGCUGAGUGGCGCUCUGUGUGUGGCCGGCCUGUGUGUGGUUUGUGGCUCAUCUGUGAGUGGACGCUGGGCUGCUGGGCGCAGUGCGUGAGAUGCUGUGGUUGUCCAUGCACCGGCUCUUGUUGGACAGAGGUUUUUGUGGUGCCUGGGCGUGUACCCAGGAGUGGUGUUGUGGGUGUUGUGGGUGUUGUGUGUUGUGGGUGUUGUGGGUGUUGUGUGUGUUGUGGGUGUUGGGUGUUGUGGGUGUUGUGUGUUG